rnacentral:rRNA from 1 species
GAUGAACGCUGGCGGCGUGCCUAAUACAUGCAAGUCGAGCGAACGGACGAGAAGCUUGCUUCUCUGAUGUUAGCGGCGGACGGGUGAGUAACACGUGGAUAGCCUACCUAUAAGACUGGGAUAACUUCGGGAAACCGGAGCUAAUACCGGAUAAUAUUUUGAACCGCAUGGUUCAAAAGUGAAAGACGGUCUUGCUGUCACUUAUAGAUGGAUCCGCGCUGCAUUAGCUAGUUGGUAAGGUAACGGCUUACCAAGGCAACGAUGCAUAGCCGACCUGAGAGGGUGAUCGGCCACACUGGAACUGAGACACGGUCCAGACUCCUACGGGAGGCAGCAGUAGGGAAUCUUCCGCAAUGGGCGAAAGCCUGACGGAGCAACGCCGCGUGAGUGAUGAAGGUCUUCGGAUCGUAAAACUCUGUUAUUAGGGAAGAACGUAUGUGUAAGUAACUGUGCACAUCUUGACGGUACCUAAUCAGAAAGCCACGGCUAACUACGUG